rnacentral:rRNA from 1 species
GUCUGGUUUAUUCCGAUAACGAACGAGACUCUGGCCUAUUAAACUUGACGUCGUUAGUCCUUAUGUGACUACGAGGUGCUUCUUAGAGGGAUCAUCGGCGCCUCAGCCGAAGGAAAGGGAGCAAUAACAGGUCUGUGAUGCCCUUAGAUGUUCUGGGCUGCACGCGUGUUACACUGAAGUGGUCAGCGCGCCGUUCAACGUCCCUCUCCGUGAGGAGCGGGCAAACGUUUGAACCCUUUUCGUGAUGGGAAUUGGGGGUUGCAAUUGUCCCCCAUGAACGAGGAAUUCCAAGUAAGCGCAGGUCACUAGCCUGCGUUGAUUAAGUCCCUGCCCUUUGUA